rnacentral:rRNA from 1 species
UGAGGAACAUGACCUUCGGCGGGGGAUAGCCGGCCCAACGGCCGGGUAAUACCGCGUACGACCACAUGGGGACAUCCCUGAGUGGUGAAAGCAGCAAUGCGCCGAUGGAGUGCCUCGCGGCCUAUCAGCUAGUUGGUGAGGUAACGGCUCACCAAGGCAACGACGGGUAGCUGGUCUGAGAGGAUGGCCAGCCGCAUUGGGACUGAGACACGGCCCAGACUNUACCGGGAGG